GAUGAACGCUAGCGGCAGGCCUAACACAUGCAAGUCGAGGGGCAUCGCGGUGCAGCAAUGCACUGGCGGCGACCGGCGUACGGGUGCGUAACGCGUAUGCAACCUGCCCCGCACCGGGGGAUAGCCCGCCGAAAGGCGGAUUAAUACCCCAUGGUCCCGGGGGCCCGCAUGGGCAUCCGGGUAAAGCCUUGGCGGUGCGGGAUGGGCAUGCGUGCCAUUAGCUGGCUGGUGGGGUAACGGCCCACCAGGGCAACGAUGGCUAGGGGGUCUGAGAGGAUGGUCCCCCACACUGGUACUGAGACACGGACCAGACUCCUACGGGAAGCAGCAGUGAGGAAUAUUGGUCAAUGGGCGGAAGCCUGAACCAGCCAUGCCGCGUGCGGGAUGAAGGCCCUACGGGUUGUAAACCGCUUUUCCCCGGGAAGAAUAACCCCGAUGAGUCGGGUGAUGCCGGUACCGGGGGAAUAAGGAUCGGCUAACUCCGUG
rnacentral:rRNA from 1 species